CCAAAAGCUGGCGACCGGCGCACGGGUGAGUAACACGUAUCCAACCUGCCGAUAACUCGGGGAUAGCCUUUCGAAAGAAAGAUUAAUACCCGAUGGUAUAAUCAGACCGCAUGGUUUGAUUAUUAAAGAAUUUCGGUUAUCGAUGGGGAUGCGUUCCAUUAGGCAGUUGGUGAGGUAACGGCUCACCAAACCUUCGAUGGAUAGGGGUUCUGAGAGGAAGGUCCCCCACAUUGGACUGAGACACGGCCAA
rnacentral:rRNA from 1 species